AAUCAACGCUGGCGGCGUGCCUCAGACAUGCAAGUCGAACGCGAAAGUUCCCUUCGGGGGGCGAGUAGAGUGGCGCACGGGUGAGUAACACGUAGGUAAUCUACCUUUGGGUGGGGAAUAACAGCCGGAAACGGCUGCUAAUACCGCAUAAUGCAGCGGCUCGACAUCGAGACAGUUGUUAAAGCGGGGGAUCGCAAGACCUCGCGCCUAAAGAGGAGCCUGCGGCGGAUUAGCUUGUUGGUGAGGUAAUGGCUCACCAAGGCAUCGAUCCGUAGCCGGCCUGAGAGGGCGGUCGGCCACACUGACACUGACAUACGGGUCAGACUCCUACGGGAGGCAGCAGUCGGGAAUUUUGGG
rnacentral:rRNA from 1 species